AUUGAACGCUGGCGGCAGGCCUAACACAUGCAAGUCGAGCGAGCGGCGGACGGGUGAGUAAUGUAUGGGGACUGCCCGAUAGAGGGGGAUAACUACUGGAAACGGUAGCUAAUACCGCCUACUAUCGGAUACCCCCUAUGGGAUUAGCUAGUAGGUGAGGUCAUGGCUCACCUAGGCAACGAUCCCUAGCUGGUCUGCGUGGAUGAUCAGCCACACUGGGACUGAGACACGGCCCAGACUCCUACGUAGGCAGCAGUGUGGAAUAUUUCACAAUGGACGCAAGCCUGAUGCAGCCAUGCCGCGUGUAUGAAGAAGGCCCUAGGGUUGUAAAGUACUUUCAGUCGGGAGGCGUUACCGACAGAAGAAGCACCGGCUAACUCCGUGCCAGCAGCCGCGGUAAUAG
rnacentral:rRNA from 1 species